GAAUGAUUGUAAAAUGUGUAUGGCAUGGAGGAGAGUGUAAGUCCAACUCACAUGGCACAGAGCCUAAGGAUUGGCUCAAAUCACAACAGCUUGGGUAUAUUUAUAUAUAUAUAUUAUAUUUAAUAUACCCAAGCUGUUGUGAUUUGAGCCAAUCCUUAGGCUCUGUGCCAUGUGAGUUGGACUUACACUCUCCUCCAUGCCAUACACAUUUUACAAUCAUUCU